rnacentral:rRNA from 1 species
GACGAACGCUGGCGGCGUGCUUAACACAUGCAAGUCGAACUACUGGCGAACGGGUGAGUAAUACGUGGGUUAUCUCCCUUGCACUUCGGGAUUAUCUUGGGAAACUGGGUCUAAUACCGGUUAGUGCGAGAUGAGCUCGGGGCCUAUCAGCUUGUUGGUGGGGUAAUGGCUACCAAGGCGCGAUGGGUAGCCGGCCUGAGAGGGUGUACGGCCAAAUUGGGGAUGGGAGAAGGGCCAGAAUCCUACGGGAGGCAGCAGUGGGGAAUAAUGCACAAUGGGCGGAAGCCUGAUGCAGAGAAGCCGCGUGGGGGAGGAAGGCCUUUGGGUUGUAAACUCCUUUCGACAGGGACGCGGUACCUGUAUAAGAAGCACCGGCUAAAUACGUGCCAGCCGCCGCGGUAAUUC